UGGUAUCACAAUGAGCGUAGUCCCAUUCCCAAAGGUUAAUUUGCCUGUAUUGGUGCUACACAGUAUUUAGUGCUAUUGCAAUAACCUUGACUCAGGCCUCUAGGAAGACAGGUGGAGGUGGGGGAGGCAAGCAGGAAAACAAAACCUGAGAUGUCUGCCGAUGGCCACAACAACCUCCUUGUAAUUAGGUUAGAACUUGGGAGGAAUACUAAUAACUAGCAACUCCCCGGCCCAAUUCUAUUUGCUGUAAUUUUCCUUGAAGGAAUGGGCCUUGGCAGGAGCACCUCCUGGGAAAUUCACUCAAAGUGGCUACUGCUUUGUCUCCUGGGAUCCUGUCUUGUUUGUAUUCCCGCAGGCCCUUUUGCUAUUUUCAUCCAAUUCCUGCUUCCCCCUACCCUUUCCUUGGACCUUUCUUUUCGUAGAGGUUCACAUAUUUUCACAGGGAGAGACUACAUGGGUAUUAAAAGUCCAAGUGCAAAGCCCCAGGGAAUAUGUGCAUUAAUAACCUUGUUUUCCAACUGGUAUCAUGAACCACCCAACACAAACCAAGCAAAGAAAACACCACCUGUGUUUUGACAGCUUCUGCAUGAUGGAAGACAGGGUUCUUGGGAAGAAUAAUUAGCCAGAAAGAAGAACUUACUUGGUAUGACCGAGAGUUUGGUCCCCUUCCCAAAAGUGAGCUGGUAACUCCCGGACCCAGACGCAGCACAGAGGUAGGUGGCCGAGUCUCUGGUCUGCGUGGCUGUGAUGUUCAGGAUGCUGAAAUGUUCUGUUUUAUCUAAUAUGCUACUUAAGCUUCCAGACUUCUUUUCAAUUCC